rnacentral:rRNA from 1 species
UACGGAGGGGGCGAGCGUUAUUCGGAAUUAUUGGGCGUAAAGAGCUCGUAGGCGGUUUGUCGCGUCUGCUGUGAAAACCCGAGGCUCAACCUCGGGCCUGCAGUGGGUACGGGCAGACUAGAGUGCGGUAGGGGAGAUUGGAAUUCCUGGUGUAGCGGUGAAAUGCGCAGAUAUCAGGAGGAACACCGAUGGCGAAGGCAGGUCUCUGGGCCACUACUGACGCUGAGAAGCGAAAGCAUGGGGAGCGAACAGG